rnacentral:rRNA from 1 species
CGUUGCGAUCAUACCAGCACUAAUGCACCGGAUCCCAUCAGAACUCCGCAGAAAAGCGUGCUUGGGCGAGAGUAGUACUAGGAUGGGUGACCACCUGGGAAGUCCUCGUGUUGCAACCCCCUC